rnacentral:rRNA from 1 species
CCUACGGGUGGCAGCAGUGAGGAAUAUUGGUCAAUGGCCGAGAGGCUGAACCAGCCAAGUCGCGUGAGAGAAGACGGCCCUACGGGUUGUAAACCUCUUUUGUCGGGGAGCAAAGCGAACCACGUGUGGUUCAUUGAGAGUACCCGAAGAAAAAGCAUCGGCUAACUCCGUGCCAGCAGCCGCGGUAAUACGGAGGAUGCGAGCGUUAUCCGGAUUUAUUGGGUUUAAAGGGAGCGUAGGUGGAUUGUUAAGUCAGUUGUGAAAGUUUGCGGCUCAACCGUAAAAUUGCAGUUGAAACUGGCAGUCUUGAGUACAGUAGAGGUGGGCGGAAUUCGUGGUGUAGCGGUGAAAUGCUUAGAUAUCACGAAGAACUCCGAUUGCGAAGGCAGCUCACUGGACUGCAACUGACACUGAGGCUCGAAAGUGUGGGUAUCAAACAGGAUUAGAUACCCCAGUAGUC